rnacentral:rRNA from 1 species
AUUGAACGCUGGCGGCAUGCCUUACACAUGCAAGUCGAACGGCAGCACGGGAGCAAUCCUGGUGGCGAGUGGCGAACGGGUGAGUAAAGUAUCGGAACGUGCCCAGUCGUGGGGGAUAACGUAGCGAAAGUUACGCUAAUACCGCAUACGAUCCAUGGAUGAAAGCGGGGGAUCGCAAGACCUUGCGCGAUUGGAGCGGCCGAUAUCAGAUUAGGUAGUUGGUGGGGUAAAGGCUCACCAAGCCGACGAUCUGUAGCUGGUCUGAGAGGACGACCAGCCACACUGGGACUGAGACACGGCCCAGACUCCUACGGGAGGCAGCAGUGGGGAAUUUUGGACAAUGGGCGAAAGCCUGAUCCAGCCAUGCCGCGUGCAGGAUGAAGGCCUUCGGGUUGUAAACUGCUUUUGUACGGAACGAAAAGGUUUGGCCUAAUAAGCUGAGCUCAUGACGGUGCCGUAAGAAUAAGCACCGGCUAACUACGUGCCAGCAGCCGCGGUAA